rnacentral:rRNA from 1 species
UACAGAGGGUGCUAGCGUUGUUCGGAAUCAUUGGGCGUAAAGGGCGUGUAGGCGGUUUGUUAAGUCAUGUGUGAAAUCCCUCGGCUCAACCGGGGAACGACGCAUGAAACUGGCAAGCUAGAGUACCAAAGAGGGGGGUGGAAUUCCAGGUGUAGCGGUGAAAUGCGUAGAUAUCUGGAGGAACACCGGUGGCGAAGGCGGCAUUCUGGACCGACAUUGACGCUGAGGAGCGAAAGCCAGGGGAGCAAACGGG